rnacentral:rRNA from 1 species
AUUGAACGCUGGCGGCAGGCCUAACACAUGCAAGUCGAGCGAGAGGCGGACGGGUGAGUAAUGUAUGGGGAUCUGCCCGAUAGAGGGGGAUAACUACUGGAAACGGUGGCUAAUACCGCAUACUAUCGGAUGAACCCAUAUGGGAUUAGCUAGUAGGUGGGGUAAAGGCACACCUAGGCGACGAUCCCGAGCUGGUCUGAGAGGAUGACCAGCCACACUGGGACUGAGACACGGCCCAGACUCCUACGGGAGGCAGCAGUGGGGAAUAUUGCACAAUGGGCGCAACCCUGAUGCAGCCAUGCCGCGUGUAUGAAGAAGGCCUUAGGGUUGUAAAGUACUUUCAGCGGGGAGGCGUUACCCGCAGAAGAAGCACCGGCUAACUCCGUGCCAGCAGCCGCGGUAAUUC